rfam:Oryza meridionalis cultivar OR44 (W2112) chromosome 2, whole genome shotgun sequence.
UUUAAGCGCAAUCAUAAAUUUUUGUGUCUAAUUUUGAUCGUCCGUCUUAUUUAAAAUUUUUUUAGAUUAGUAUUUGUAUUGUUAUUAGAUGAUACAACAUGAAUAGUACUUUAUACGUGACUUAUGUUUUUUUAUUUUUUAAAAAGAAUGAAAUAAGAUGGACGACCAAAUUUAGACACGAAAAUUUAUGGUUGCGUUUAAA